UACGGAGGGAGCUAGCGUUGUUCGGAAUUACUGGGCGUAAAGCGCACGUAGGCGGCUUUGUAAGUUAGAGGUGAAAGCCCGGGGCUCAACCCCGGAACUGCCUUUAAGACUGCAUCGCUUGAAUCCAGGAGAGGUGAGUGGAAUUCCGAGUGUAGAGGUGAAAUUCGUAGAUAUUCGGAAGAACACCAGUGGCGAAGGCGGCUCACUGGCCUGGUAGUGACGCUGAGGUGCGAAAGCGUGGGGAGCAAACAGG
rnacentral:rRNA from 1 species